rnacentral:rRNA from 1 species
GGGUGAGUAACACGUAUGUAACCUGCCCUCUGCAGGGGGAUAAGCGGAAGAAAUUCCGUCUAAUACCGCAUAAUACAAUUUGGAGACAUCUCCGGGUUGUCAAAGGAGUGAUCCGGCAGAGGAUGGACAUGCGGCGCAUUAGCUAGUCGGCGGGGUAACGGCCCACCGAGGCUACGAUGCGUAGGGGUUCUGAGAGGAAGGUCCCCCACACUGGUACUGAGACACGGACCAGACUCCUACGGGAGGCAGCAGUGAGGAAUAUUGGUCAAUGGGCGGAAGCCUGAACCAGCCAAGUCGCGUGAGGGAAGACGGUCCUAUGGAUUGUAAACCUCUUUUGCAGGGGAGCAAGGCGCGGUACGUGUACCGCGAAGGAGAGUACCCUGAGAAAAAGCAUCGGCUAACUCCGUGCCAGCAGCCGCGGUAAUACGGAGGAUGCGAGCGUUAUCCGGAUUUAUUGGGUUUAAAGGGUGCGCAGGCGGACUGUUAAGUCAGCGGUAAAAUGUCGGUGCUCAACACCGGCCGGCCGUUGAAACUGGCAGCCUUGAGUGAGCGAGAAGUAUGCGGAAUGCGUGGUGUAGCGGUGAAAUGCAUAGAUAUCACGCAGAACUCCGAUUGCGAAGGCAGCAUACCGGCGCUCAACUGACGCUCAUGCACGAAAGCGUGGGUAUCGAACAGGAUUAGAUACCCUGGUAGUCCACGCAGUAAACGAU